rnacentral:rRNA from 1 species
UUAUUAUGAGAGUUUGAUCCUGGCUCAGGACGAACGCUGGCGGCGUGCCUAAUACAUGCAAGUCGAACGCUUCUUUCCUCCCGAGUGCUUGCACUCAAUUGGAAAGAGGAGUGGCGGACGGGUGAGUAACACGUGGGUAACCUACCCAUCAGAGGGGGAUAACACUUGGAAACAGGUGCUAAUACCGCAUAACAGUUUAUGCCGCAUGGCAUAAGAG